rnacentral:rRNA from 1 species
GAGUGUCGCCGGGUGAGUACACGUGGUGAUCUGCCCUGACUUCGGGAUAAGCCUGGGAAACUGGGUCUAAUACCGGAUAGGACCACGGGAUGCAUGUCUUGUGGUGGAAAGCGCUUUAGCGGUGUG